ACAGGGAUUGCCCUAGUAACGGCGAGUGAAGCGGCAACAGCUCAAAUUUGAAAUCUGGCUCUUUUAGAGUCCGAGUUGUAAUUUGCAGAGGGCGCUUUGGCUUUGGCAGCGGUCCAAGUUCCUUGGAACAGGACGUCACAGAGGGUGAGAAUCCCGUACGUGGUCGCUGGCUAUUGCCGUGUAAAGCCCCUUCGACGAGUCGAGUUGUUUGGGAAUGCAGCUCUAAAUGGGAGGUACAUUUCUUCUAAAGCUAAAUAUUGGCCAGAGACCGAUAGCGCACAAGUAGAGUGAUCGAAAGAUGAAAAGCACUUUGGAAAGAGAGUCAAACAGCACGUGAAAUUGUUAAAAGGGAAGCGCUUGCAGCCAGACUUGCUUGCAGUUGCUCAUCCGGGCUUUUGCCCGGUGCACUCUUCUGUAGGCAGGCCAGCAUCAGUUUGGGCGGUAGGAUAAAGGUCUCUGUCACGUACCUCCUUUCGGGGAGGCCUUAUAGGGGAGACGACAUACUACCAGCCUGGACUGAGGUCCGCGCAUCUGCUAGGAUGCUGGCGUAAUGGCUGUAAGCGGCCCGUCUUGAAACACGGACCAAGGAGUCUAACAUCUAUGCGAGUGUUUGGGUGUCAAGCCCGAACGCGUAAUGAAAGUGAACGGAGGUGGGAACCCGCAAGGGUGCACCAUCGACCGAUCCUGAUGUCUUCGGAAGGAUUUGAGUAAGAGCAUGGCUGUUGGGACCCGAAAGAUGGUGAACUAUGCUUGAAUAGGGUGAAGCCAGAGGAAACUCUGGUGGAGGCUCGCAGCGGUUCUGACGUGCAAAUCGAUCGUCAAAUUUGGGCAUAGGGGCGAAAGACUAAU
rnacentral:rRNA from 1 species